GUUGGCAAAAAUGUUGACAAGUGGCUCUGGAUGCUUGGCGCGCAUCGUGUGAUGAGUCGAGGGGAGGGCGACGUGCGACGUGGUUAAAAGCAAGCACGGCAGCAUUGAGGCCGACUUCAGAGCAUGGAAGACCAAGUUCAUCUCCCAGCUGCAGGCACUUCAGAAAGGGGAGAGAAAGAAGUCCUGUGGCAGCCACUGCAAGAAAGGCAAAUGUGAAUCUCACCAACAUGGCUCAGAGGAGAGGGAGGAAGGAUCUCACGAGCAGGAUGAAUUGCAUCAUAGAGACACCGAGGAGGAAGAACCCUUCGAGAGCUCCAGUGAAGAAGAGUUUGGUGGUGAGGACCAUCAGAGCCUAAAUUCCAUUGUUGAUGUUGAAGAUUUGGGCAAAAUUAUGGAUCAUGUGAAGAAAGAAAAGAGAGAAAAGGAACAGCAGGAAGAGAAGUCUGGUUUGUUCAGGAACANNNNNNNNNNNNNNNNNNNNUUUUUUUCUUGGUUUAUUGGGAUAUUACUAUCAGUGUGGGUCAAGUUCACAGAUCAAAAGUGCUGUCAUUGGGAAAGCUAA
rnacentral:lncRNA from 1 species